rnacentral:tRNA from 1 species
CCCUGUGUAGCUCAAUGGUAGAGCAGCGCCCUGUUAAGGCGAAGGUUCCUGGUUCGAGCCCAGGCGUAGGGGCCA